rnacentral:rRNA from 1 species
UACGAAGGGUGCAAACGUUGCUCGGAAUUACUGGGCGUAAAGGGUGCGUAGGCUGUGCUGUAAGUCAGGCGUGAAAGCCCCGGGCUCAACCUGGGAAUUGCGCUUGAUACUGCGGCGCUGGAAGGUGGGAGAGGAUGGCGGAAUUCCCAGUGUAGAGGUGAAAUUCGUAGAUAUUGGGAAGAACACCGGUGGCGAAGGCGGCCAUCUGGCCCAUUUUUGACGCUGAGGCGCGAAAGCCGUUGGGGAGCAAACAGG